UACGGAGGGGGCGAGCGUUGUCCGGAAUUACUGGGCGUAAAGGGUGCGUAGGCGGCCUGAUAAGUCAAGUGUGAAAUACCCGGGCUCAACCUGGGUGGUGCACGUGAAACUGUCGGGCUUGAGUGCAGGAGAGGGAAGUGGAAUUCCUAGUGUAGCGGUGAAAUGCGUAGAUAUUAGGAGGAACACCAGUGGCGAAGGCGGCUUCCUGGACUGUAACUGACGCUGAGGCACGAAAGCGUGGGGAGCGAACAGG
rnacentral:rRNA from 1 species